rnacentral:miRNA from 1 species
GGCGGAGGGAAGCGGGUCCGUUGGU